rnacentral:rRNA from 1 species
UCAACGAGUCGGGUUGUUUGGGAAUGCAGCCCAAAUCGGGCGGUAGACUCCGUCCAAGGCUAAAUACAGGCGAGAGACCGAUAGCGAACAAGUACCGCGAGGGAAAGAUGAAAAGGACUUUGAAAAGAGAGUCAAAGAUUGCUUGAAAUUGCCGGGAGGGAAGCGAAUGGGGGCUGGCGAUGUGCCCCGGCCGUAUGCGGAAUGGCUCGUGCUGGUCCGCUGCUCGGCUCGGGGUGUGGACUGUUGUCGGCCGCACCGGCGACCAAAGCCCGGGGGCCCUAGGUGCCCCCGGUGGCCGUCGUCGGCACGGCCAGUACCCGCGCGACGAAAGGCGUGUCCCUCGGGGCACUGCGCUGCAAUGGCCUGCGGGCUCCCCAU